rnacentral:rRNA from 1 species
GAUGAACGCUGGCGGCGUGCCUAAUACAUGCAAGUCGAGCGAACGGACGAGAAGCUUGCUUCUCUGAUGUUAGCGGCGGACGGGUGAGUAACACGUGGAUAACCUACCUAUAAGACUGGGAUAACUUCGGGAAACCGGAGCUAAUACCGGAUAAUAUUUUGAACCGCAUGGUUCAAAAGUGAAAGACGGUCUUGCUGUCACUUAUAGAUGGAUCCGCGCUGCAUUAGCUAGUUGGUAAGGUAACGGCUUACCAAGGCAACGAUGCAUAGCCGACCUGAGAGGGUGAUCGGCCACACUGGAACUGAGACACGGUCCAGACUCCUACGGGAGGCAGCAGUAGGGAAUCUUCCGCAAUGGGCGAAAGCCUGACGGAGCAACGCCGCGUGAGUGAUGAAGGUCUUCGGAUCGUAAAACUCUGUUAUUAGGGAAGAACAUAUGUGUAAGUAACUGUGCACAUCUUGACGGUACCUAAUCAGAAAGCCACGGCUAACUACGUGCCAGCAGCCGCGGUAAUACGUAGGUGGCAAGCGUUAUCCGGAAUUAUUGGGCGUAAAGCGCGCGUAGGCGGUUUUUUAAGUCUGAUGUGAAAGCCCGCGGCCCAACCGUGGAGGGUCAUUGGAAACUGGAAAACUUGAGUGCAGAAGAGGAAAGUGGAAUUCCAUGUGUAGCGGUGAAAUGCGCGGAGAUAUGGAGGAACACCAGUGGCGAAGGCGACUUUCUGGUCUGUAACUGACGCUGAUGUGCGAAAGCGUGGGGAUCAAACAGGAUUAGAUACCCUGGUAGUCCACGCCGUAAACGAUGAGUGCUAAGUGUUAGGGGGUUUCCGCCCCUUAGUGCUGCAGCUAACGCAUUAAGCACUCCGCCUGGGGAGUACGACCGCAAGGUUGAAACUCAAAGGAAUUGACGGGGACCCGCACAAGCGGUGGAGCAUGUGGUUUAAUUCGAAGCAACGCGAAGAACCUUACCAAAUCUUGACAUCCUUUGACAACUCUAGAGAUAGAGCUUUCCCCUUCGGGGGACAAAGUGACAGGUGGUGCAUGGUUGUCGUCAGCUCGUGUCGUGAGAUGUUGGGUUAAGUCCCGCAACGAGCGCAACCCUUAAGCUUAGUUGCCAUCAUUAAGUUGGGCACUCUAAGUUGACUGCCGGUGACAAACCGGAGGAAGGUGGGGAUGACGUCAAAUCAUCAUGCCCCUUAUGAUUUGGGCUACACACGUGCUACAAUGGACAAUACAAAGGGCAGCGAAACCGUGAGGUCAAGCAAAUCCCAUAAAGUUGUUCUCAGUUCGGAUUGUAGUCUGCAACUCGACUACAUGAAGCUGGAAUCGCUAGUAAUCGUAGAUCAGCAUGCUACGGUGAAUACGUUCCCGGGUCU